UGUUAAUUUCCUUGUAAGAUUUGUAACAUUUUUUAAUUUUUUUAAUUUUAUUUGAGGUAAUUAUCAUGGCAACAGGAACAGUUAAAUGGUUCAACGAAUCUAAAGGCUUCGGCUUUAUCACUCCAGAAGAUGGCAGCAAAGAUGUAUUCGUACAUUUUUCAGCAAUCGCAAGCGAAGGUUUUCGUACAUUAAACGAAGGCCAACAAGUGAAUUUUGACGUAGAAAAUGGCCCUAAAGGCCCACAAGCAGUUAACGUAACUGCUUAAGUUUCUAUACGAACUUGGAAAAGCCUCGCUUUAAGCGAGGCUUUU
rnacentral:sRNA from 1 species